UAAUAAGCAUGUUUAGAUAUGAUCUCAUGAAUGGAAUGCUAUUACUUAGAUGCGAGAACCAGUGACACCAUAUGCUUAUACCAAAUUCAAACUCCACAAAUUGAAACACAUAACACUCAAGAUAGAAGUCAAGGGUUGUAACGGGGCUUGGGGGUAAUGGCUAACAAAGAAAGGAUAGGGAUAAUAAACGUUUUGAAAGCAAUAGCAAGCAAAGUAAUGAAAUAGACGCUUGAAAUUCACUCCAUAAUGCAAAAAUUAACUUUUAAACACAACGGGAAGAUUCAAGCAACACUUAGGGCUCUUUUUCACAACUUUCUUCUUUUCAUUCUAUUUUCCACGAAUGUUUUCUUUUUCUUUUUCUUUUCUACCCGUGCCUUAUUAAGGACUUUGGCACACACACACACACAAGAAUCACUUCCCCCACACUUGUUUUUCU
rnacentral:lncRNA from 1 species